AACGAACGCUGGCGGCGUGCCUAACACAUGCAAGUCGAACGUGAUUGGAAGCUUGCUUCCAUGAAAGUGGCGCACGGGUGAGUAACGCGUAGAUAAUCUGCCUGGUGAUCUGGAAUAACACUUCGAAAGGGGUGCUAAUACCGGAUAAGCCCACAGGGUCUUUGGACCCAGUGGGAAAAGGGGGGGACCUUCGGGCCUUCCGUCAUCAGAUGAGUCUGCGUACCAUUAGCUAGUUGGUAGGGUAAAGGUCUACCAAGGCGACGAUGGUUAGCUGGUCUGAGAGGAUGAUCAGCCACACUGGAACUGAGACACGGUCCAGACUCCUACGGGAGGCAGCAGUGGGGAAUUUUGCGCAAUGGGGGAAACCCUGACGCAGCAACGCCGCGUGAGUGAUGAAGGCCCUUGGGUCGUAAAGCUCUGACAGAGGGAAAGAAAUGCAGGGGAGCUAAUAUCUCCCUUGCUUGACGGUACCCUCAAAGGAAGCACCGGCUAACUCCGUGCCAGCCGCCGCGGUAACAC
rnacentral:rRNA from 1 species